UAGUGAUUGGCUCAGUAACACGUGGAUAAUUUGCCCUUAGGCUUUGAAUAGGGUUGGGAAACUGACCGUAAUACAUUAUAGAAGAUUGAUACUGGAAUGUACUUUCUUUGAAAGAUUUAUCGCCUAAGGAUAAGUCGGCGGUUGAUUAGGUUGUUGGUGAGGUAAAGGCUCACCAAGCCUACGAUCAGUAGGGGGGAUGAGAGUCCUAGCCCCGAGAAGGGCACUGAGACACUGGCCCUAGCCCUAAGGGGUGCAGCAGGCGCGAAACCUUUACAAUGCACGAAAGUGUGAUAAGGGAAUCCUGAGUGCUUUGCUUUCGAGUAAAGCUUUUGUCAAGUGUAAAAAGCUUGGCGAAUAAGUGGUGGGUAAGACGGGUGCCAGCCGCCGCGGUAACACCUGCGCCACAAGUGGCAAUCAUGUUUAUUGGGUCUAAAGCGUUCGUAGCCUGUUUAAUAAGUUCUUUGUGAAAUUGAUGAGCUUAACUCAUCCACGUGCAGGGAAUACUGCUGAACUAGGGACCGGGAGGAGGUAGGAGUACCCCUUGGGGAGCGGUAGAAUGUGGUAAUCCUUGGAGGACUACCAGUGGCGAAGGCGCCUACCCAGAACGGCUCCAACGGUGAGGGACCAAGGCUAGGGGAACCAAAGGGAUUAGAUACCCGAGUAGUCCUAGCAGUAAACGCUGCGAGCUAUGUGUUGUGUAUUCUUCAUGGAUAUACAGUGCCUAAGCGAAGGUGUUAAGUUCGCCACCUGGGAAGUACGGUCGCAAGGCUGAAACUUAAAGGAAUAGGCGGGGGCUCGCUACAAGGAGUGAAGAGUGCGGUUUAAUUGGAUUCCACGCCGCAAACCUCACCAGGAGCGCCGGCAGAAUGAAGGUCAGAUUGAAGGUUUUACCUGACGAGCCGAGAGGUGAUGCAUGGCCGACGCCAGCUCGUGCCGUGAGGUGUCACGUUAAGUCGUGCAACGAGCG
rnacentral:rRNA from 1 species